CUCUCUCUCGCUCUCGCUCUUUUGCGCGUGUGAGAGAAAGCGAUGGCGAGUCGUGCGCCUUCACACUGGAAACACAUUACGCCAAGUACACAAACACAGGUGAGCUGC